CCUACGGGAGGCAGCAGUAGGGAAUCUUCCACAAUGGGCGAAAGCCUGAUGGAGCAACGCCGCGUGGGUGAAGAAGGUCUUCGGAUCGUAAAACCCUGUUGUUAGAGAAGAAAGUGCGUGAGAGUAACUGUUCACGUUUCGACGGUAUCUAACCAGAAAGCCACGGCUAACUACGUGUCAGCAGCCGCGGUAAUACGUAGGUGGCAAGCGUUAUCCGGAUUUAUUGGGCGUAAAGGGAACGCAGGCGGUCUUUUAAGUAUGAUGUUAAAGCCUUCGGCUUAACCGGAGUAGUGCAUUGGAAACUGGGAGACUUGAGUGCAGAAGAGGAGAGUGGAACUCCAUGUGUAGCGGUGAAAUGCGUAGAUAUAUGGAAGAACACCAGUGGCGAAAGCGGCUCUCUGGUCUGUAACUGACGCUGAGGUUCGAAAGUGUGGGUAGCAAACAGGAUUAGAUACCCUUGUAGUC
rnacentral:rRNA from 1 species